AUCACUUAACUCUCUUUAGAUGUUUCACGCAGGUAUCUCAAGGUCAUACUAAACUAAAUGUCAUUUUUAGUAAUGAUACGUUUUUUGAGAUGUCGCCAUGCACCUGGAGUGAAGAUUUCUUCUAUAUCACUGAGUCUGAGUGUCAUUAUAAUUUGUCAAUUGUCAGUGUCAGUAUGCCUUUAUCUUUUAUCUUUAUGUCAGUAAAAAUGUUUAUCUGAUUGUUAGCAAUAAUAAAAAAUCCUGAUUUAGAUAAAAUGGAUUCAAAUACAGUUUUUGAAACAAAACGAAUGUGAUUUGAAGAUCCCUAGGAAGAUCAAAUUCCUAGCUUACAUUUGCAUGGUGAGUUCAACAAGUAUUUGUUAUUAGAGAACAAGUAACACAGUUAGUGGUGUAGGGAAGCAAACGAAUGUAACACCAAGACCAAUUGAAAGUCCUCAACAAGUAGAGAUGCACACAUGUUUCAAUCAUUUGAGAUACCCUUUUGUAGAAGUAUUUGGAAGAUAACUAUUAAUAAUUUCAUUUGUAAAGAUACGAUUUGUAAAAAAGUAUAUACAAAGUGGUUUUGCUGGUAUUAAAUAAAUAAAUAAAAAUACGUUGUCAUGUCUUAUUUUUUCCCAAAUGGUAUUUUGUAUAUUUGAAAUUAAAAAUAAUUUGCAUAUUUUAAAACCAAAUUAUUUUUUUUUUCAACUAUACAAAUAUUUUAACCUAACAUUUUCUUCCCACCAAAAUUACAUUUUGAAAUUCCCGCUUGAAAUUAAUUCCGAUACAAGCGGCAUGGAGCGCUGUUUUUCAUAUUUAACCAAAGCGUUAUCGUGAAACAUCUAGAGGAGGUAGGUGAUCUGUGGUCAAGACAACUCAAAAAUCGUCCACCAAAUUAGUGCAGAAUAGGGUCGUCUUCUAGGCAAUAACAACGUUGUAACAAAACGUUGCCACGCGGUAGACAACGUUGUCGCGUCGACAAAUUGCUACUUGGGACCCCGCUCAGCUGAAUAUUAAUGACUCUCUUAGUUUGCACAACUAUAACUAUACUAUUAUUUCCACUAUUAAAAUAAAGAUAUUUAAAACAG